AGCGGCGGACGGGUGAGUAACACGUGGGUAACCUGCCUGUAAGACUGGGAUAACUCCGGGAAACCGGGGCUAAUACCGGAUGCUUGAUUGAACCGCAUGGUUCAAUUAUAAAAGGUGGCUUUUAGCUACCACUUACAGAUGGACCCGCGGCGCAUUAGCUAGUUGGUGAGGUAACGGCUCACCAAGGCAACGAUGCGUAGCCGACCUGAGAGGGUGAUCGGCCACACUGGGACUGAGACACGGCCCAGACUCCUACGGGAGGCAGCAGUAGGGAAUCUUCCGCAAUGGACGAAAGUCUGACGGAGCAACGCCGCGUGAGUGAUGAAGGUUUUCGGAUCGUAAAACUCUGUUGUUAGGGAAGAACAAGUACCGUUCGAAUAGGGCGGUACCUUGACGGUACCUAACCAGAAAGCCACGGCUAACUACGUGCCAGCAGCCGCGGUAAUACGUAGGUGGCAAGCGUUGUCCGGAAUUAUUGGGCGUAAAGCGCGCGCAGGCGGUUUCUUAAGUCUGAUGUGAAAGCCCCCGGCUCAACCGGGGAGGGUCAUUGGAAAC
rnacentral:rRNA from 1 species